AACCAACAGGGGAUUGCCUCAGUAACUGCGAGUGAAGCGGCAAGAGCUCAAAUUUGAAAGCUGGCACCUUUGGUGUCCGCGUUGUAAUUUGGAGAGGCAUCUUCGGGUGGGGCGCCGGUUCAAGUUCCUUGGAACAGGACGUCACAGAGGGUGAGAAUCCCGUGCGUGGCUGGCUGUCCCCGUCCAUGUGAAGUGUCUUCGACGAGUCGAGUUGUUUGGGAAUGCAGCUCAAAAUGGGUGGUAAACUCCAUCUAAAGCUAAAUACUGGCGAGAGACCGAUAGCGCACAAGUAGAGUGAUCGAAAGAUGAAAAGCACUUUGAAAAGAGAGUUAAAAAGUACGUGAAAUUGUUGAAAGGGAAGCGCUUGAGACCAGACUCAGCGCGGGGUAUUCAUCUCCCGUUCUCGGGGGUGUACUUGCCUCGUGUUGGGCCAGCAUCGGUUGUGGCGGCGGGAUAAAGGCCUGGGGAACGUGGCUCGCCUCGGUGAGUGUUACAGCCCUGGGCGUCAUGCCGCCUGCCGCGACCGAGGACCGCGCUUCGGCUAGGAUGCUGGCGUAAUGGUCUUCAGCGACCCGUCUUGAAACACGGACCAAGGAGUCUAACAUCUAUGCGAGUGUUCGGGUGUCAAACCCUUGCGCGGAAUGAAAGUGAACGGGGGUGUGAAGCCGCAAGGCCGCAACAUCGACCGAUCCUGAAGUUUACGGAUGGAUUUGAGUAGGAGCAUAGCUGUUGGGACCCGAAAGAUGGUGAACUAUGCCUGAAUAGGGUGAAGCCAGAGGAAACUCUGGUGGAGGCUCGCAGCGGUUCUGACGUGCAAAUCGAUCGUCAAAUUUGGGUAUAGGGGCGAAAGACUAAUCGAACC
rnacentral:rRNA from 1 species